ACUCAGUGGUAUAUGGUGAAAAAUCUGUUUUUUUUAUUUAAGUUAACAAAUUUGGAGAGAGAAAGAAAGAGAUUAAAUUAUUAGUGAUAAUAAUGCAAGUAGGCCCUACAAUAAUCAUAGGAAUUGUGACUUACCAAGGGGGGGGGGGGGGGAGGCUUGGUAAGUUAUUUCCCAUGUUUCACGGGAAGUUUCACUUCCCUUGGAAUUUUCAUUUAUCCCACUUUGAUAAAUUUGUGUCAACCAAACAACACAUGAUUUUUUCAUUUCCUAGGAAAUAGAAUUUCCCAUGCUAUUUACCUCCAACCAAACAACACCUUAGUAACUAGACUCACCAUAAUUCCUUCUCCACCACCUGAUUGUUUGCUUUAGGGCCUUGUAUUUGCAUUGUGAACUUGAUAUAUAGGUGGGCUGCUCUAAUUCAUUAAUUACACCUUCAUGAUUUUGUUAUGAGUUAGUCCCUAUCAGGCCUGUAGAACAUCAUGUGCAAGGUGCCCUCUUGCACAAGGGCCCCAAUUUUAAAGGGCCCAUUUUUUUUUCCUAUUCUAUUUUAAAAAAAAAGUAAAGUCUCCUUGUUUAUACGCCAAGCAAGCAACAAAUCAAUAAUCAAGACUAUCACGGCAUCACGCUAAUUUUUUCCUCAUUAUUUUCCCUCUUUAUUCAAGCUUCCAUUUUAAUUUCUACAAUUUUUCAAAUUCCUCCAUCAAUUCAAAUUAGUAUUAUCAUAAUUACAUCAAUCAAUUCCAUGGAAAAUUGUAUUGCCUAUUUCUCCAUUCAAGGUCUUCAAUGGAAAAAAAAUUAUACUAAGUCAAAUUCAAACUAUUUUUCUUCCAUACCAAUGGCAAUGAGCAAUUAAUUUCGAUUUUUCAUAAUUAUUCUUAUCAAACGGGUAAUUAUUUUCCCGUAUAUAUAUUUGGGUUAUCUUCCAUCAUUCUUCGAUCAUCUUCAUCUAAUUCCCAAUUGAUACACAAUCAAACAAAAACAAAAACGAAUUGAAGCAUUUUUUUUUUUCAUUUUUUUUUAAGGGGAACAAAUUAAAGCAAUUGAAGCAAUUAAUUUCUGUUCUUUGCCCAUCAAAUCGAUUAAAGUGGAGCGAACCUGGGUAUGGGAUUUAACCCGGGUAUUGUGGCGAUGCGAAGGUUGGGUAUGGUGAUGAGUUUGAUGAUGAUGAGGUAAAGGAUGUCUCUUGAUAAUUUUUCUGCAUUUUCAUGAUAAUGUGACCCUAAUUAUAUAUACCGUACAAAGUAUUAUCCGAGCUCAAAUUUAUCAAGUGUUUGUUGAUGGAGGAUUGUGUGUUGCCUGUUGAUAAAUGGUUGCUAGCAACUGUGAUCUGUUGCUGGCCAGGGGAUGUAUGAUUGUGAUAUGUUGUUGUUGCUAUUGAUAUUGGUGUGUGGCCUGAGUUUCUUGGAUUAUGUGAUAUUACUCUGUGGCCUUAGAUUGUAAUUCAUUUUGUGAAUUCUUUAUGUUGAUUGUUUGAAUGGUUGUGAGGUUGUGUUUGUUGUUGGUUUAGUUUGUUUAGUUCAAUUAGUCUUCUUGUUUAGUUUGUUAUUGGUUUCGAUUGAUCUACUUUGCCUGCUCAAGUGUUAUUGAUUUGUUUCUGCUUUGAAUGCGCUAAAAUUUAUUGUUGUGGCUGAAUUGAAAGAUUAAUAGCUUGGUUGUUGUCUAGUUGAUGGGUAGUAUAUAUGAGUGUGGACUGGUGUGAAGCUGCUUCUAAGUGUGCUAUACCUUAGUAAAACUUUGUGGAUUGAUUUGCUGGCCAGGGGAUGUAUGAUUGUGAUAUGUUGUUGUUGCUAUUGAUGUUGGUGUGUGGCAUGAGUUUCUUGGAUUAUGUCCCUUUUUAAUGUCCCUUGAUUGCUAUUGAUGUUGAUGUUGGUGUGUGGCCUGAGUUUCUUGGGUAAGUGAUGGCGUUGGAAGAAAAAAAAAGAAGAGGCGAAAAUGGCGGCGUCGGGAGGUAGUGGUGGUGUUGGGAGUUUGUCCAGCGGCGAUCGAGAAAUACUUGCGACGGUGAACAUGGUUGCUUCAAGUUUGUCAUUGAUUGGAUCUAGCUUCAUUGUCCUUUGUUACAUUAUUUUCAAGGACCUUCGCAAAUUCUCUCUCAAGCUCGUCUUUUAUCUCGCUCUCUCUGUCGAAAUCUUCUGAACAAUUGAGAAUCAACGUUAUCAAGCAAUUCGUCUAAUUGAUUGGUAUAAACCUCCUGCUUUCCAGGUUUUUCAAUCCAUAUAUAUGAUACUUUAAUUUUGUUGAGAUUGUGCCUCCUAGAAAGUAUGGAUCUGGAUCUGAAAAGCAUAAUAAAAAGAGAAAAUUAGAAGUGUUAAUUAAUUCUCAAGAAGGUGCUCUUGAUAAAUUCGUUAUAAAAGAACCUCAAGUUCCUCUUGUUGAGCCCAUUGAUGAUGUCCCUAUUAAGAAUGAUAAUGUUGAUGUUGAUGAUAUUAAUAAAUGUUAAUGUUGAUCUUGUUAGUGA